rnacentral:rRNA from 1 species
GAUGAACGCUGGCGGCGUGCUUAACACAUGCAAGUCGAACGAAGCACUCAGAUCUCUUCGGAGUGAUGAGUGACUGAGUGGCGGACGGGUGAGUAACGCGUGGGUCACCUGCCUUGUACAGGGGGACAACAGUUGGAAACGCCUGCUAAUACCGCAUAAGCGUACAGCUUCGCAUGAAGCAGUGUGAAAAGCUGAGGCGGUACAAGAUGGACCAGCGUUGGAUUAGCUAGUUGGUGGGGUAACGGCCUACCAAGGCGACGAUCCAUAGCCGACCUGAGAGGGUGACCGGCCACAUUGGGACUGAGACACGGCCCAAACUCCUACGGGAGGCAGCAGUGGGGAAUAUUGCACAAUGGGCGAAAGCCUGAUGCAGCGACGCCGCGUGAGCGAUGAAGUAUUUCGGUAUGUAAAGCUCUAUCAGCAGGGAAGAAAAUGACGGUACCUGACUAAGAAGCUCCGGCUAAAUACGUGCCAGCAGCCGCCGUAACAC